AAAUUCACAACCAAACAUAAAUUAACGAUCACCUUCACAAGGGGAUCACAAGGAAUCAUGUCAAGAUGGAUGGGAGCGUUGAAGGCUAACGGGCUACGAAUACUCAAUCAAAUAAGCGAACGCAAAUACGGGCGCGCAAGGCUGUACAGGAUUAUGGAAAUUUCAUCAAGAAGUG